rnacentral:lncRNA from 7 species
AGGAUGUAACAGGGUGCUGCCUCUGGAUUGUGCUGGGAAAGGCUUGUGAUUUGUGGGGCCAGAAGACAGGCAUUGAGGGCUGCACUAAAUAACUUUGGAGUAAGGACAUGAAAAGUACAACUUCUGGCUGAAUUGCACAGCUUAGGCCCAACCUUGGAGCUGUACAUCAAGCCUUACUGUUUUCUUCUUAUUCCUUCAUAUGUCUUUUGGGAGGUGGUGUUGGACUCCUCCCCAUCAAAAGUAUAAGGUAUUGAGGUUGGGCACUCAGGUUAAGCCUCCAUGCUACUUAACAGUGAUAUUUACUGCUUAGAGAAGUUGUUUUGUUAUUUGUACAUAUGCACAUAAUGAAAUAUAUAAAUUUUUCUGUCUUCUUUCAGUACAUAUUUCCAAAUCUCUAUAUACAUAUAGAAUUAAUAAGUGAUAUCUCAUAGCCUGAACUCUGGACAUCAGCUUGAAUUAGAUUUGGUCCUAUAAAAAUGAAAUGAUGUUUUUAUAUAUGUAGGUGGGAAAGAUGUAGCUAUCUUCAUUACUGAGAAUUUUCCAGAUUUGUGCUUAUUUUUCUAUAUGCUGAAUUGAUCAAAAAGCUGAAGUUAUAGUCUUCUAUACUGAAACAAUCAAGAAAAAAUUGCUUAUAUUUUUCAAGUUUCUGUAGGUAUUUUGGAAAUACUUUAUUUUUAUUUCUGCUUUCUUCAAUCUAUAUUUUUUCUAUUUUUUGAAAUAGAAUAUCUCUUGGACUUUGUUUCUUUUCUCAUUCUCUUUGCCAAAUUUCCUAAUUUCUUAUAU